AAUACCCUAUUAUUUUAAAAGUAAUUAAUAAAAUCUAAUUAGUAAUAGUUAAGUUCUUGAAAAUUAAAGAAUUUGGCGGUAUUUUAGUCUAUUCAGAGGAAUCUGUCCUAUAAUUGAUAAUCCACGAUUUUUUAUACCUAAUUUAUUAAUUUACAUAUCGCCGUAGUUUGAAUAUUUUUUGAAAAUUAUAAUAUUCAUAAUCUAUUUUGAUGAAAAAAUUCAGGUCAAGGUGUAGUUUAUGGUUAGGGAGAGAUGGGUUACAAUAAAAAUAUUUAUUAUGGAUUAAUUAAUUAAAUUUUUUUAUGAAGGUGGAUUUGAAAGUAAUUUUAUUUA
rnacentral:rRNA from 1 species